AUUUCUACCACCUGUGACCCUAAUAUCCCCUCAUUACGUCUAUUUCCUAUAGCUGCUUCUUAGCUGUUCUCCCUUCUCUCUUUCCCUCUUUCUUGGCCAGCCCACAUGAUGUUGCCUCUUUAUUUCACUGUUUCACAAGAAGCAUGCAAGAGAUGUUCCCAAAGGAAAAAGUGAAGCUGCCAGCAUGAUCUAGCUUUGGUUAGGGAUAUAUAUAUAUACUAACCCUAACUAGGUCAUGCUCUGACAGCCUCACUCCUUCCUAAUUGGGGACCCAAUAGAGAUUCGAAACACCCUUCAAAUCUCAUGGAGAAAAAGCAAAAGGUAAGCAUGAGAAAUCACUGUAAGUAUAGUAUAUUUCUCUUAGUUUCUGUUAUUCCUGGCAUGCGUUCCUUCUUACUUUUUCUUUUCUUCUACCUUUACUUUCUUUCAUUUGUUUGUCCCUCUCCCCCCCCCCCAUUUCUCUCUCUCUCUCUUCUCCUUUAUGUUUUUUCUGUAAUAUGUUACCUGCUUAACAUCAGCACUGCUUGCCUUUUGCCUUUCUCUUUUGCUAACGCCAUUGGGGUGGCCUUGGAUGGAUGGACGGACAGAUGUGGUGACAUGAAGCUCCUUAAAAGGAUAUUCCUUGUUUCUGGAUUUUGGUCGUAAUUUUUAACACUAGUUUUCCUUGAUCACUUAUUUGUGUAUAUAUUACAAACUCAUUAGCUAGCUGCUGAUCUGAAUAAGACAUCCUGCUGCUGUGUACAUGGUAUCUUGGACUUCAUCAUAACCCUAACAUGUCUAUUUUUGGAACCAGAAAAGACUAGAAAAAUCAACAUACACGUGUGUGCAUGUUUCUAUCAGAUCGAUGUAUCCAUUUUUAAUUAUGCAUUUUAUAUAAUAUAUGUUCUGUGACAUCUUUUCUUCCUGCCGAUUAAAAUCGUGUUGUGUCAGUGUCAUAUCAGAACCCUACCACUUAGUCAGGAGAGUGAGGAUAUUACGUCUAUAGCAUGUAUAUGUGUAAUGCUACAUACCAUUUUCUUUUUCUUCCAAAUACCAAAGUGGAUACCAUUCUCUUGUUUAA